ensembl:snoRNA
GCAUGGGUUUGGAUUUAUGGCAGGCCUGUUCCCCUGAGCCUCUCAUAGUGCCUCAUUCCAGAGCAAACCGUGGCCCUGAAUCAUUGCCUGGCCUCUGUGUCCAUAGGCUGCUGGCACUGAAGUGGGUUGCACAGAA